rnacentral:snRNA from 1 species
GGAACAAUAGAGAGAUUGGCAUGGCCUCUCUGAAAGAAUGACAUGCAAAUUUGUGAAGCAUUCCAUAUUUUU